rnacentral:rRNA from 1 species
AUGGUGUCCUGGAGCGACGGUGAGAGCACUGAGGGCUCUGCCGCGCAGUACAUCUCCUCCGACGACUCCCCUCUCAAGAUCCCAGCUACAAUUGAUGACCCGUCGUUCGAGGGUCUUGCUGACGACUUGAAUGUGAUUUGUGAGCAUGGGAAUCUAGGGAGGAAAUAUGUUGCAUUUGAGGGGAUAAGCACUGGUAGGAGGUUCAUUGCCUGUGUCACUGAAGGUGUUGGAAAUUGUGGAUUAGUGCAGUGGGUAGAUGAGCAUUGGCCAGAGCAUCUGCAGAAUGCUAUUCAUAAGCUGUGGCUUAUGUAUGACCAUAGCCAGCAUAAUAACAAGAUGGCAUGUCAGAAAAAAGAGUUGCAUGAGACAUAUGAGAAGCUUGUUGAAGAUGUGAACAACCUAUUAGAUUAUAAGGAUAGCCAGCCUGAGGUAAACCAGAAGAAUGAUGCUGAGAACAUUUCAGUGAGUGUGGAAAGCAGCAUGACAAAGGAUGCUGAGAUCAAGAAAUUGAAGGUUGUUGUUGUCCAGUUAAAGCAAAUUCAUGUAGCUCAAGCCAAUGUCAUUAGGAAUUUGAAAUUCAACCAUCUUAAAGAGAAGGAAAAGUUGAGCUCUAAUAAGAGGAUGUUGGAGAUCUGCUAUGCUGACCUGAAGAAAGAGAAGGAUGACCUGAAGAAAGAGAAGGAUAAGCUGGAUUGUUGCAUUGCUGAGCUGAUGAAACUGAAGGAGAAGUUGACCAUGGAGAAGAGCACUCUUGCUUCCUGCAUUGUUGAGCUGAAGACAGCAGGUGAUAGCAACAAGAGGAAGCUUCACCAGAUCAAGACUAUUUGUGAUGAGGACUAA